AGCUAACAUAGCUCUUUUAGAAUUGUUCUGGUGGGUUUUCAGACUUUGGCCAGAAAACCCAA
ensembl:snRNA U7 U7 small nuclear RNA